rnacentral:rRNA from 1 species
UACGUAGGGUGCAAGCGUUGUUCGGAAUCACUGGGCGUAAAGCGCACGCAGGCGGAUAAAUAAGUCAGGGGUGAAAUCCCGGGGCUCAACCUCGGAAUUGCCUUUGAUACUGUUUAUCUCGAGUUCGGGAGAGGUUGGCGGAAUUCCUAGUGUAGAGGUGAAAUUCGUAGAUAUUAGGAAGAACACCAGUGGCGAAGGCGGCCAACUGGCCCGAUACUGACGCUCAUGUGCGAAAGCGUGGGGAGCAAACAGG